ACGAGCGGCGAACGGGUGAGUAACACGUGAGUAAUCUGCCCUCCACUUCGGGAUAAGCCUCGGAAACGGGGUCUAAUACCGGAUAUGACCACUUCAUGCAUGUGAUGGUGGUGGAAAGUUUUUCGGUGGGGGAUGUGCUCGCGGCCUAUCAGCUUGUUGGUGGGGUAAUGGCCUACCAAGGCUUCGACGGGUAGCCGGCCUGAGAGGGUGACCGGCCACACUGGGACUGAGACACGGCCCAGACUCCUACGGGAGGCAGCAGUGGGGAAUAUUGGACAAUGGGCGGAAGCCUGAUCCAGCAACGCCGCGUGAGGGAUGACGGCCUUCGGGUUGUAAACCUCUUUCAGUGGGGACGAAGCGCAAGUGACGGUACCCACAGAAGAAGCACCGGCCAACUACGUGCCAGCAGCCGCGGUAAUACGUAGGGUGCGAGCGUUGUCCGGAAUUAUUGGGCGUAAAGGGCUCGUAGGCGGUUUGUCGCGUCGGGAGUGAAAACACUGGGCUUAACUCAGUGCUUGCUUCCGAUACGGGCAGACUAGAGGUAUUCAGGGGAGAACGGAAUUCCUGGUGUAGCGGUGAAAUGCGCAGAUAUCAGGAGGAACACCGGUGGCGAAGGCGGUUCUCUGGGAAUUACCUGACGCUGAGGAGCGAAAGUGUGGG
rnacentral:rRNA from 1 species